rnacentral:rRNA from 1 species
CACGUAGGUCCCGAGCGUUGUCCGGAUUUAUUGGGCGUAAAGGGAACGCAGGCGGUCUUUUAAGUCUGAUGUGAAAGCCUUCGGCUUAACCGGAGUAGUGCAUUGGAAACUGGGAGACUUGAGUGCAGAAGAGGAGAGUGGAACUCCAUGUGUAGCGGUGAAAUGCGUAGAUAUAUGGAAGAACACCAGUGGCGAAAGCGGCUCUCUGGUCUGUAACUGACGCUGAGGUUCGAAAGCGUGGGUAGCAAACAGG